ACUGAAUUUCUUGUAGAAAAAGCCAUGACCAAUUUCAAAGGAAGCUGAAUUAUGCUCAAUAUUUGCAAAAUGUCACUCCUGUAACAGCAUCAUUUAUAUAGACUUUCCUACAAAAGUUUUACUUGUAAAAGAGUGAAACUUUCCUUAAAAAUAUUGAUGAAAAGUUAAAGGAAAUUCAAGAAAGCACUCAUAGAUAACCUCUUUCACCUGGAAGAAUUACAGAAAGACAGGAAAAGCGAAGAUUUGUUCCUAGAAAUUACGAGAUUCAUGUUGAUGUAAAGAAAUUAAAUACAUUAGUCACCGUCAGUGCUACAUGUUAUGAUGUCACGCUUUGUCUCACCAACUUCUUUUUAAGACUCCCACAUGGCCAAUUGUGGAUUAAGUCCCAGAU